rnacentral:rRNA from 1 species
GUUGUAUGGUUAAGUGACUAAGCGUAUGUGGUGGAUGCCUUGGCAGUUAGAGGCGAUGAAGGACGUGUUAAUCUGCGAAAAGCUGAGUUAAGCCGAUAAAAGGCGUUAUAGGCUCAGAUGUCCGAAUGGGGAAACCCACCCGUCAUCAGGCGGGUAUCGUUAAGUGAAUUCAUAGCUUAACGAGGCGAACCGGGAGAACUGAAACAUCUAAGUACCCCGAGGAAAAGAAAUCAACCGAGAUUUCCUUAGUAGCGGCGAGCGAACGGGAAUUAGCCCUUAAGCGGUUUGUAAGUUAGUGGAAUGAGCUGGAAAGCUCAGCGAUACAGGGUGAUAGCCCCGUACACGAAAAUGAACUUACCGUGAAAUCGAGUAGGUCGGGACACGAGAAAUCUUGACUGAAUAUGGGGGGACCAUCCUCCAAGGCUAAAUACUCCUAACUGACCGAUAGUGAACCAGUACCGUGAGGGAAAGGCGAAAAGAACCCCUGUGAGGGGAGUGAAAUAGAACCUGAAACCGCAUACGUACAAGCAGUGGAAGCCCUUCGUGGGUGACUGCGUACCUUUUGUAUAAUGGGUCAGCGACUUAUGUUCUGUAGCUAGGUUAACCGAAUAGGGGAGCCGUAGCGAAAGCGAGUGUUAACUGCGCGUUUAGUUGCAGGGCAUAGACCCGAAACCCGGCGAUCUACCCAUGGGCAGGUUGAAGGUUGAGUAACAUCAACUGGAGGACCGAACACACGUAUGUUGAAAAAUGCGGUGAUGACUUGUGGGUCGGAGUGAAAGGCUAAUCAAGCCGGGAGAUAGCUGGUUCUCCCCGAAAUCUAUUUAGGUAGAGCCUCGGACGAACACCAUUGGGGGUAGAGCACUGUUAAGGCUAGGGGGUCAUCCCGACUUACCAACCCUUUGCAAACUCCGAAUACCAAUGAGUGCUAUCCGGGAGACACACUAUGGGUGCUAACGUCCAUAGUGGAAAGGGAAACAACCCAGACCGCCAGCUAAGGUCCCAAAGUCAUAGUUAAGUGGGAAACGAUGUGGAAAGGCAUAGACAGCUAGGAGGUUGGCUUAGAAGCAGCCACCCUUUAAAGAAAGCGUAAUAGCUCACUAGUCGAGUCGGUCUGCGCGGAAGAUGUAACGGGGCUAAACUAUGCACCGAAGCUGCGGAUUUAACCUUUUGGUUAAGUGGUAGGGGAGCGUUCUGUAAGCCGUUGAAGGUGAACUGAGAAGUUUGCUGGAGGUAUCAGAAGUGCGAAUGCUGACAUGAGUAACGAUAAUGGGGGUGAAAAACCCCCACGCCGAAAGACCAAGGUUUCCUGUCCCAUGUUAAUCAGGGCAGGGUAAGUCGGCCCCUAAGGCGAGGCGGAAACGCGUAGUCGAUGGGAAACAGAUUAAUAUUUCUGUACUUCUUAUAAUUGCGAAGGAGGGACGGAGCAGGCUAGGCAAGCAUGGCGUUGGUUGUCCAUGUGAAAGUAUGUAGGCUGAAGAAUUAGGUAAAUCCGGUUCUUCUUAAGGCUGAGAUACGAGACGAGGCUCUACGGAGCUGAAGUUGUUGAUGCCCUACUUCCAGGAAAAGCUUCUAAGCAUCAGAUUAUAAGGAACCGUACCCCAAACCGACACAGGUGGUUAGGUAGAGAAUACUAAGGCGCUUGAGAGAACUCGGGUGAAGGAACUAGGCAAAAUAGUACCGUAACUUCGGGAGAAGGUACGCCGGCUAGGGUGAUGAGACUUGCUCUCUAAGCCUCGGUCGGUCGAAGUAACCAGGUGGCUGGAACUGUUUAUUAAAAACACAGCACUGUGCAAAAUCGAAAGAUGACGUAUACGGUGUGACGCCUGCCCGGUGCCGGAAGGUUAAUUGAUUGGGUUAGCGCAAGCGAAGCUCAUGAUCGAAGCCCCGGUAAACGGCGGCCGUAACUAUAACGGUCCUAAGGUAGCGAAAUUCCUUGUCGGGUAAGUUCCGACCUGCACGAAUGGCGUAAUCAUGGCCACACUGUCUCCACCCGAGACUCAGUGAAAUUGAAUUUGCGGUUAAGAUGCCGUAUACCCGCGGCUAGACGGAAAGACCCCGUGAACCUUUACUAUAGCUUGACAGUGAACAUUGCUCCUACAUGUGUAGGAUAGGUGGGAGGCUUUGAAACUUUGUCGCCAGAUAGAGUGGAGCCAAUCUUGAAAUACCACCCUUGUAUGCGUGAUGUUCUAACCUGGGGCCCUAAUCGGGCUUGGGGACACUGUCUGGUGGGUAGUUUGACUGGGGCGGUCUCCUCCCAAAGCGUAACGGAGGAGCACGAAGGUUGGCUAAGUAUGGUCGGACAUCAUACGGUUAGUGCAAUGGCAUAAGCCAGCUUAACUGCGAGACAGACACGUCGAGCAGGUACGAAAGUAGGUCAUAGUGAUCCGGUGGUUCUGUAUGGAAGGGCCAUCGCUCAACGGAUAAAAGGUACUCCGGGGAUAACAGGCUGAUACCGCCCAAGAGUUCAUAUCGACGGCGGUGUUUGGCACCUCGAUGUCGGCUCAUCACAUCCUGGGGCUGAAGUCGGUCCCAAGGGUAUGGCUGUUCGCCAUUUAAAGUGGUACGCGAGCUGGGUUUAGAACGUCGUGAGACAGUUCGGUCCCUAUCUGCCGUGGGCGUUUGAGAAUUGAAGAGGGCUGCUCCUAGUACGAGAGGACCGGAGUGGACGAACCUCUGGUGUUCCGGUUGUCACGCCAGUGGCAUUGCCGGGUAGCUAUGUUCGGAACUGAUAACCGCUGAAAGCAUCUAAGCGGGAAGCAGGCUUUGAGAUGAGUUCUCACUGGGACUUUAAGUCCCCUAAAGGGUCGUUGGAGACUACAACGUUGAUAGGUCAGGUGUGUAAGUGCUGCGAGGCAUUGAGCUAACUGAUACUAAUUGCCCGUGAGGCUUAACCAUACAACACCAAAG